rnacentral:rRNA from 1 species
UACGAAGGGUGCAAGCGUUAUCCGGAUUUACUGGGUUUAAAGGGUGUGUAGGCGGGCUUUUAAGUCAGUGGUGAAAUCUCCGAGCUCAACUUGGAAACUGCCAUUGAUACUAUUAAGUCUUGAUUUUGUUGAGGUAGGCGGAAUAAGUCAUGUAGCGGUGAAAUGCAUAGAUAUGACUUAGGACACCAAUUGCGAAGGCAGCUUGCUAAACAAAUAUUGACGCUGAGGCACGAAAGCGUGGGGAUCAAACAGG